GUGCCAGCAGCCGCGGUAAUACGUAGGGGGCAAGCGUUAUCCGGAAUUAUUGGGCGUAAGGAGUACGUAGGUGGUCUUUUAAGCGCAGGGUAUAAGGCGAUGGCUCAACUGUCGUUCGCCCUGCGAACUGGAGGACUUGAGUACAGGAGAGGAAAGCGGAAUUCCUAGUGUAGCGGUGAAAUGCGUAGAUAUUAGGAGGAACACCAGUGGCGAAGGCGGCUUUCUGGACUGAAACUGACACUGAGGUACGAAAGCGUGGGGAGCAAACAGGAUUAGAUACCCUGGUAGUCCACGCCGUAAACGAUGAGCACUAGGUGUCGGGACCGCAAGGUCUCGGUGCCGGAGUUAACGCAUUAAGUGCUCCGCCUGGGGAGUACGUUCGCAAGAAUAAAACUUAAAUGAAUUGACGG
rnacentral:rRNA from 1 species